CCCGCAUUGCCGCAGAUUCUUUACCGUUUACUGCUCUAGAAAAAAAAUAGUAGGUAGGAAGGAGAGGGCAGGCGAGGGGAAAAAGCCACACCUCUAAGUCGUUAGGCCAAGUGCUGUAGUGGCACGAGCAAGCCUGUGAGGUCUCAGACGGGGGUUCAGGCCUGGACUCCGCCACGACCACGGGCGGGGUUAAUAGAGAGGCACACAGCCAAGCCGUGCAGGUCAACCGAGAGGCACUCCACCCGCUUCCCCCCGCCCCGGCUCCAGGCGUCUACUCCCCCGGUCCGCAGUCGCGCGCCGCUUGCCUCUCCAUCCUUGGUCCAGUUCAGCCUGGCAAGCGUUGCCAUGGCAGCGCCGCGGGCUGGGAUGCGGGAGGCCGAGCGCGCUGCCCCGCUCGCCUCUUUGUGCCGCGGGGGUGUCGGUGCGCUGCCUCCAAACCCGGCCGCACCCCCCACUCAGACCCCGACCCCCGGGACGGGGUGAAGGGUAGGGUGUGGGAUUGCAGGGGCGCGGGGAGACGGGGGGAGGGCCGAGGGGAGGGCCGGGGGUGGGGCGCCUCCGCCCGCCAGCCGCUCCAGCAUUAAAAUUUCAUGGGCGCUGCAGCAGCUACAAAGACUACGCCGGCUGCGCUCGGGGGACCGGCGGGAGGGAGGCUGCGGACGAGGGCGGGGAGGAGUUUGCGAUGGGAGGCGCCUGCAGGGGCUCCCCCAGUUCUGCGCUGUGAGCCGGGGCACAAAGAGCUCUCUGCACUGGCGCCGCAAGACCGCGGACCCGAGCUGGAGGCAUCUCCCUGCCUACCCGUAUGGUUCCAGACACAUUCAUGUGGCCGCCGUGACCCUACCAGCAUCAAAGGAGUAAUCAAGAGUGCAAGCAAGUUUCUGAGACAGAGGAGAAGGAAGGGAAUUUCCGGGUUCUUGGAGAUGUUCAGGACCACACUGGGAAGCAGCCUUGCAGAUAAGAUGGGCCUGUGGGGGUCUCCGUGGGGUAGGAGCUGGGAUCAGGGCACUGCCAGAUGUGGACCGAGCGCCUUCUCUUGGAUAGAAACUGAGGAUCCGGAGGUCAACGUGCGAUGUGGUCCUGCCCUCUCAGAUCUUCGUGCUGCCCCGGCUGCAUCUCUAGGACUCCUGGCCCGCUCUCCUCCUGGACUCUGGUGGUGGUGACACAGGGAGCAGUCUUCGCUGGUUUUCUGGAACCCUGGACAGCUCCCCGAAGAUCUCAUCCUUCCUAACUCCUGGGCCUCCCCUGGAUAAAGGCCCCUCCUGGUUGGUGCUCGGCCGAGGACAGUGGCGGAGUGCGAGGGAGGCUGGCAGCCCACCAUCCAUCCCUUCUGCAUCUCCCUGGACCUGCCUGCCUGUCCCCGCCCCUGUCCAGGACUGGAGGCCCUUCCUGACCCCGUGAGGACCUCACUGCUCCUCCCAUCCCUGCUGGUGACCAGGUGGAGCUUGGCCUGGGCCCAGGCCCCACUGACCACACCCUCGGCAAGGCUGGGUCUCACAGGACCUGCAGGACGGGGGCAGGCACCUGUGGAUGGGCGUCAGGGACGAGCUGCCAGUGGGUGGAGGGUGGACGCAGCUCGGGGAGUCAGUGGGCUGGAGUCUGUCUUGCGCCCUUUGCGUGUGAGUGAUUCCCAUUUUUCUGGGGGUUUCUGGGGUUCUUCUUCCUUGCUUCUCUCCCUGAUGGUCACCAGGAGGAGGCAGUCUAGGCCUCGGGGGAGCUUGGGCCUUCUUCUAAUGCUGUGGACCUCUGGGAAGGGUUAUCCUGAAAGGAGAGGGCUUCCAAGAGAGGAGAAGACCCCGGCCAGGGGGCUUGUGAGGAGACAGACCCUGGGCUGGCUCCUGACAUCCAAAGGGAACAGUCUGGAAUCAGCCUCACCCUGGCCCAGUCUCAGACUCCUGCUCCUGGUCACCCCCAUCCCUGGGAAGCAGAGGCGGGCAGGGUAGGCUACAUACAGGUACAGCUUCCCCAUCACAGGGCUGUGGGCUCACUCACAUGCCCUCCCUUUCUCCAGUCCCCCACUGAGGGGCCGGCCUCAGUGCUUGCAGGAGGGCGGCCAUGGCCUUCCCCGGAGAAGCUCAAGAGCCUGACGUCCUUUUCCUGGGGCAGGAAGGGACGCUGUCAUAACAGAACUCCACUCCUGGAUGGCCGAACUGCAGAAAUGUAUUUUCUUAUAGUUCUGGAGGCUGGAAGUCCAAGACCAAGGUGGCAGGGAUGGUUUGUUGUGAGGCAUAUCUCCUUGGCUGGCAGACAGAACCUUCUCAUUGUAUUCUUACAUGGCCUUCUCUCUGUGCAUACGCAGAGAGAGAUGGUGUGUGUGAGAGGAGAGAGAUAUCAGGCAUCUCUUCCCUUUCCUAUAAGGGCACCGGUCCUAUGGGGUUAGGGCCUCAUCCUUAUGACCUCAUUUAGCCUUAAUUGCCUAUGCCAAAGCCCUACCUCCAAAUAUAGUCACAUCGGGGCUAUGAAUUUAGAGGGAGACACAAUUCAGUCCAUAGCAGGUGGUCACCACAAACCUGGAAGCUGGAGCCAUCUACCCUUUAGAAUUCCCACCCCCGAUGGGGAGGGGAAGGAGAAGCAGAGACAUGGGAAGCAGAAACGGUGUGGCAGGUCCUGUGCGAGGGAGGCCCUGGGACCCUUGGAGAGACACGGAAUUGGCCAAACCCAGAGCAGUGGAGAGGAGCCCCCAGGAGAGGAGGGUCCUGUGAAGAGCCUGGGCUUUGGAGCCUGAGGGUUAUGCUCUGACGUGCAACCUUGGGCAAGUCACCUCACCCCUGUGAGUCUGAUUGGCACUCUGAAGCAGGAACCAUCAGCUCACCCGGGGAGCGGGGCACAGGGAGAAGUCAGUGAGAUCUCACAGCUGGCACAGUGCUUGACUCUUAGUAGGUGCUCAAUAAACACUCCCGUCCGCCUGGGAGUUUGGAUUUAGGGCUUCUCUCUUUCGGGCACCCUGGACUGUAAACUUCGCAUCUUUGAUCCAGAGGCGUUUCUGACCAGUGCUUCCCCAGGUGUAUCUUUUUGUUUGUUUUUGGCUGUACGGGGUGGCAUGUGGGAUCUUAGUUCCUGGACCAAGGGUCGAACCUGUGCCCCUGGUGCUGAGAGUGCAGAGUCUUAACCCCUGGACUGCCAGGGAAGCCUUUCCCUCUUAUAUUUUUAAUACCCUCUCUAAUCAGGUCAAGCAAUCUACUGCAUGGCAUGGCCUCCACGGUAGCUCUGAAUGCUUCCUGGGGAAUUUAGUAUCUACCCUUCUCAUCAGAACUGAGCACCUACUGUGAGUCCUUCCCUGUGCUGCUCAUUUGAGGGGGAUAUAAGUGCAGAUACGGCCAUGAUUCAAGCUGGCAGGGUUUCACAGCCAUGCCAAGUGGAGAAAACCAGUCCACACAGAGAGUGAGCGGAUGGGGCAGAAAAGAGUCUCCUGAGGCACAGGUUCUGAGGGUACGGGUGGGUGGGUGGGAGGGAGACCCCAGAGUAGGCUGGAAAGGCUUCCCAGGGAGGCUGAACCAGUCAGGAUCUUGGAAGGAUGAGAAAGAUGUGGCUUAUCUGAGAGUUUUCCAAGGGAAAUUAGGUAAGAGAUUCCCAAAGUAAGUUAAAAGAGAUGUCAUUGGUCUU
rnacentral:lncRNA from 1 species